UACGUAGGGUGCGAGCGUUAAUCGGAAUUACUGGGCGUAAAGCGUGCGCAGGCGGCUGGUUAAGUCUGAUGUGAAAGCCCCGAGCUCAACUUGGGAAUGGCAUUGGAAACUGGCUGGCUAGAGUGUGGCAGAGGGGGGUGGAAUUCCGCGUGUAGCAGUGAAAUGCGUAGAGAUGCGGAGGAACACCGAUGGCGAAGGCAGCCCCCUGGGCUGACACCGACGCUCAGGCACGAAAGCUGGGGGAGCAAACAGG
rnacentral:rRNA from 1 species